AGAAAUAAACUUUGUAUUUUUGAGUGUUUUAAGUGUUUGAGUGUUUGAGUGUUUGAGUGUUUGAGUGUUUUUAUUCCAAGUGCUGCUUCUGCAAGCUUCUAUUAAGCACUACUGCUCUUCUGCCUUUAUGUAAGUUUGCUAAAUAUUAAUGUUAUCGUUUUUAUCGUUUUUAAUUUCGUUAUAUUCUUAUCCCUGAUUUUGGCUUUGUAUGUUUGAAUUUCUGAUAAUUAUUUUGUUUAUUCUCUACAUCUCUACAAUACAUUCCGCGC
rnacentral:lncRNA from 1 species